rnacentral:lncRNA from 1 species
CCUCACCUAUUGGCUGAGGGCCCUCAGUCUAGGCAUGGCAACAUCUCCGCUUCGCACAUCUGUCUCUGAGUCCCAGGCUUGCUUGAGCCAGUUUACCCAUUACUUACAGCCGGAGGUGCCACCCAGCUGGUGAGUAGGACAGUCUGUAGCUGCUUCCUCCUGUACAAGGGGUGUUUGGAAUUCCAUACACAGAGAAUGAGGUGGGUUUCACUGGAGCCACUCCCGGACACAGGAAUGAUCAGAAGGCAGAGUGACCAGAGACAAGAGGGAGGGCUGGCAGCCUCCUGUGGGGAGACGGCGGGGCAGAUGCUGGUGAGCGGAAGCGAAGGUACAGCAACCCAGGCAGCUUCAUCUCCAGGCCUGGCUACUGAAGUGCGGCCUCCAGCAAGGCUCUCCCAAGUCCCAUGGAAGACUCCAGAACAAUGGGAAGAAUGCUUGUUGCAUUUCGCCAAGUUGCUCUCAGCUUUUUCCUGCCUGUGUGCCAUCUUUCUGCAAACCACCAGCACUGGCCGCCUUGCACAGCGAUAAUCAGCCUGUCAGUCAAUAAACUGAAGAUGUUGGUAGUGCGCUGGGAUUGG